rnacentral:rRNA from 1 species
GACGAACGCUGGCGGCGUGCCUAACACAUGCAAGUCGAACGCAGUGGCGAACGGGUGAGUAACGCGUAAUCAACCUGCCCUUCAGAGGGGGACAACAGUUGGAAACGUCUGCUAAUACCGCAUACCGAAGGUGGGCAUUGCGUCCGUUUAGCUAGUUGGAGGGGUAACGGCCCACCAAGGCGAAGAUCAGUAGCCGGUCUUGGGAGGAGAACGGCCAACAUGGGACUUGGGCACGGCCCAGGCUCCUUCGGGAGGCCGCAGUGGGGGAACUUCCGGAAUUGGCGGAAGUCCGGCGGAACAACGCCGGGUGGGAGGUAGCGGCCUUCGGGUUGGAAAACUCUGUUAAUCGGGGAGCGGUACCGGAAUAGAAAGCCACGGCUAACUACGUGCCAGCAGCCGCGGUAAUAC